CUGAAGCCUGGGGAGAUGUGCCAGCUCCGAGCCACUCCUGGACAAGGGACAGGCGGUCAAGGUAGAACAAUUCCUCUUGAACAAGGGGAUGAGCAUCAAACACAAGGAACCAUCUAGAACUGGCUGCACAGCUGAGCAUCCUGCAUCUACAAUCACCUGCAGGGGUUAAGAAUUUGGUUUAAGCAGAAUCAAGAGGACAGACCAGAUAUUUCGCAGAAGACCCUUGAACCUGGGCUUGUUGAUGUUCCGUUGCAAGCAAGUUUCCAGCUGGGCUCCUUGGGGUUUUGCAUCAUCCCCUCUGAUGUCCAUCUGCCCCCUGAUGGAUGACGUCAACGUCUAUCGCUUAGUGAAU